UAGAAAGUGGUGUAGAGGAAGCACCUGGAGUUUUGAUCUCCCGAGUAUGGGUUCGAUUCCCUUCUUUCUAG
rnacentral:tRNA from 1 species